GCGGCUGUGGCGGAACUGGUAGACGCGCGGCGUUCAGGUCGCCGUGUCCCCUUGGGACGUGGAGGUUCGACUCCUCUCAGCCGCA
rnacentral:tRNA from 1 species